AAUACUUCUAUCCUAACGGUGGAAGAAUUCCCGAACGCCCAGGCCAUCGCGUCCCUGUAGCUCCUGUAGCGCCGUUCCCUGGCAAGUGGGUCCAGUCCCUGGCGUUUGUCGCUGGUUGCCGCAUGGUACGCGUCCAUAAAAUAUCUAGCACACCACCCGUCCAGAACCCUCCAGCUGCUGGCCGAAAAAUCCUCGGCGUCUGCUUCGUCCACAUUUCUCCAUCGCAUCCUUGCUCCAUCCGCCAGCUGCAGCUUCUCCCGCAUCCUCACCCCCCAAGCUCUGUACUCCAUGCCCCCUCCUCGAGCUCCACCGAUCCGCCUCCAUUCCUCACCGGCGAAGCCACAUCGGUUCGUCCCUCAGCGCCCCGCCCCGCCGCGCCCCCCUCCCCUCCCGCCGGCGUCACCCUCUCUGACUACCUGAGAGGUCAGGUCGCUGGUGCUGAGCACUUGCCCCCUCCCACUGCCCUCCCUCUCAGCUCGCACCCUCCCCCCUCCCUCUCAACUCGCACCUGCCCGUCCGCCGCAUUCUUGCUCCCUCCGGCAUCUGCAGCUCCUGCCGCAUCCUCACCCCGUACGCAGCCUUCUCCCCUCCGUACGCCAUUCCUUCGCCUCGAGCUCCCCCGAUCUGGCUCCAUCCCUCACCGGCGCAACCACAUCGGCUUCGUCCCUCAUCGCCCCACCUCGCCCCCCCCCCUCCUCCCCGACGCGCCGGCAUCGCCCUCUUCGGCUACCUGAGAGGUCAGGUUGCCGGUGCCAAGCACCCGCCCCGCUCCCCCCUGUCGAAUUGCUACUGAGUUCAGUCGUCAGGUCGCCGGUGCCAACCACCCGCCCCCCUCCCUCUGCCGAACUGCUGCUGAGUUUAGCCCACAAUGCAAUCGCCUUCUUCAUCAGCUACGACUUCCCAUCGGUGCGGAUACAGCUAUGUUUUCCACCGGGGCAUCAGGACUUGCAAAUUGGUAUAACAGUUUCAUUAAAUAGACAAUACACAGAUGUAAAAAUUACUUGAUCUUUUUCAAACAAUAAUUUUAGACCUUUGUAUCUAAGGCCCUGUCCAUCACUACUUCAGCGAAAGCUUCAUGUUCAAUGUAUUCUUGCAAUGGCUACAACUGUGAUAAACCAAGCUUUGGAGGAGAUAGUGAAUACCUUAGAAAUCCGAUAUAAUAAUCUCUGUUAGCUUGAACAAUAACAUGUAGUUCAGCGAAAGCUUCAUGUUCAAUGUAUUCUUGCAAUGGCUACAACUGUGACAAACCAAUCUUUGGAGGAGAUAGUGAAUACCUUAGAAAUCUGAUAUGAUAAUCUCUGUUAGACUAAACAAUAACAUGUAGCCUAUUUUCUCUCCUGCUAUCUUGAUUGCAGCUAUAAUGGUGGUUCUUUUUUUUAGAUGAUAAAUGUGCUGAUCAUUGUCCAUAGCCAAGGUACAUUGCUGGUCUAAAAUCUGAAGAGUGGCAAAUUUUCUUGCUAAAAUACACAAACAUAAUUUUGACUGCAGCUGUACAAUUGUGCAGCCGUGAUGUUAUCUUUUUUACAUAUAUAUCUUUUUACUGAGAUACUUCUCUAAGAAUAGAGGAAAUUCGUUUGUUCCUUCCAAAGGAAGCAAGCUAGGGUUAUUUCCACAAUUACUUUCUUCCAUUGUACAAACUUGCAUCUCCAACUUAAGCAAACAACCUUGAUGAAUGAUGACAGUGACACAAGUAAGUAUAAAUCAGUAUAGUGUUUCAAAAGGUAGCUUAUCUACACGCAAGGAGUUUCAAUAUUUUAGCUUAAUUGCAUAGAUCUGCUGGUGAGUAAAAUCUUUAUAGUCCCUUUAAAUAAGCUAUCACAGCUAUUACUGUUGCAACCUUAUACUUCACGCCAAAGAAACAACACUAAAAUAUAAUCUUAAUGUUAUUUCUCAACUCCUACAGUUCAGUAUUAUUUCAUUUUCCAGUGUUUAGGGAAUACCUUACUGUCAUUCAGCUUAUAUUUAUUGCUUUAAUUCCUAUAACUGCUGUCGCUAUUUAUUCAUCUUGAUCACUGAGAUUUUACAAACUAUUUACAAUAAUGAGGAAUAAUUGGUUAUAUAAUGCUUCAUAUAUUAGUUACAUCUCCUUUCUCUUCAUACUUCACGAAUAUAUAUACAUUACUAAAUUAAAAAAAAAGAACCGUUGUAUAUCUACAUACUGACUUACCAUACUUAUGAUUACACAGGAACUACCUUGGCUCAAGCACGCAGCUCAACACCAGCUAAUAUUUUGAAGGUAAACAAAUUUCCUAUUUCCAUAUCAUAAUAUGUCCAUAGGAUAGAUAUGACAGGGAGUGCAAAUAAUUGCAGGAACAAAAAAAAAAAAAGAAAUAGAAAGUCUAUUAUCUGCAGCUGAAACAACGCCAGCAGAACACACCGUGAGUAUUACCAUGUACUUAUUUCAACAGCAUUACCAAAAAGGAGGAAAAACAGAACAUAACAAACCAACAAUUCUUUGUACCAUACAGGCUUUAGCUACGGAUGUGAAAGAAUCGUCUAAACGACACCUCACUAAAUAAGACCCAGAUUCAUUUGAUCCAAAAAACAUAAUCAAUAAAAGACAUGCUACAAGAAAACUGCUCUUCAAAGACUAAACUAUUACCAACUAAACUUCUAAUGCGGUAAGGCCUUCACCAAUGAACAUACACAUGCAUUUCCUUUUCAGGUUCAUCCAAAUUAAAAAAAAAAACUUGACUACUGCACUCUUUCAUUUUCUUUCAGAUCUUAAGUGUUGCCGCUAAAUAUGAGCACCAGCUGUUUACCUAAUGCCUACCUUACAUAUAUCUCCAACCUCUCAAUGUAUAAAUAUAGUAUCUUGCUGUACAGAUAAUACUACUACUACCAGAGACCAACUCCUAUGUACCACCCUACCAUAUACAACUACUAUGUACUUUCCUUUUUAAACUA